rnacentral:rRNA from 1 species
AAGUCGAACGAGCGAGAGAGAGCUUGCUUUCUCGAGCGAGUGGCGAACGGGUGAGUAACGCGUGAGGAACCUGCCUCAAAGAGGGGGACAACAGUUGGGAACGACUGCUAAUACCGCAUAAGCCCACGGGUCGGCAUCGACCAGAGGGAAAAGGAGUGAUCCGCUUUGAGAUGGCCUCGCGUCCGAUUAGCUAGUUGGUGAGGUAACGGCCCACCAAGGCGACGAUCGGUAGCCGGACUGAGAGGUUGAACGGCCACAUUGGGACUGAGACACGGCCCAGACUCCUACGGGAGGCAGCAGUGGGGAAUAUUGCACAAUGGGGGAAACCCUGAUGCAGCGACGCCGCGUGGAGGAAGAAGGUCUUCGGAUUGUAAACUCCUGUUGUUGGGGAAGAUAAUGACGGUACCCAACAAGGAAGUGACGGCUAACUACGUGCCAGCAGCCGCGGUAAAACGUAGGUCACAAGCGUUGUCCGGAAUUACUGGGUGUAAAGGGAGCGCAGGCGGGAAGACAAGUUGGAAGUGAAAUCCAUGGGCUCAACCCAUGAACUGCUUUCAAAACUGUUUUUCUUGAGUAGUGCAGAGGUAGGCGGAAUUCCCGGUGUAGCGGUGGAAUGCGUAGAUAUCGGGAGGAACACCAGUGGCGAAGGCGGCCUACUGGGCACCAACUGACGCUGAGGCUCGAAAGUGUGGGUAGCAAACAGGAUUAGAUACCCUGGUAGUCCACACCGUAAACGAUGAUUACUAGG